rnacentral:rRNA from 1 species
GGGAAACUGGGGCUAACUCUCGAUAGGCGAAGAACUCUGGAAUGAGUCUUCACCUAAAUAGUUCAGCGUUACGCUCGUUGAACCGCCUAAGGAUGAGGCCGCGACCGAUCAGGUUGUUGGUAGGGUAAUGGCCUACCAAGCCUAUUACCGGUACGGGCCCUGAGAGGGGUGGCCCGGAGAUGGGAACUGAGAUAAGGUCCCAGGCCCUACGGGGCGCAGCAGGCGCGAAAACUCCACAAUGCACGAAAGUGUGAUGGGGUUAUCCCGAGUGCCGUCCGAUGUGGAUGGCUUUUGCCUGGUUUAAGGAGCCGGGUGAAUAAGAGGGGGGCAAGACUGGUGUCAGCCGCCGCGGUAAUACCAGCCCCUCGAGUGGUAGGGACGAUUAUUUGGCCUAAAGCGUUCGUAGCCUGCCCAGCAAGUCCUUUGUGAAAUCCGGCGAUCCAAUCGUCGGGCGUGCAUAGGAUACUGUUGGGCUUGGGGACGGGAGAAGUCGAUGGUACUCUUGGUGUAGGGGUGAAAUCCUAUAAUCCCAAGAGGACCACCAGUGGCGAAGGCGGUCGACUAGAACGUGCCCGACGGUGAGGGACGAAAGCUGGGGGAGCGAACCGGAUUAGAUACCCGGGUAGUCCCAGCUGUAAACGAUGCAGGCUAGGUGUUGGGUCAGCUACGAGCUGCCCCAGUGCCCGCAGGGAAGCUAUUAAGCCUGCCGUCUGGGAAGUACGGUCGCAAGGCUGAAACUUA